rnacentral:snRNA from 1 species
GGAUGUGAUGGUGAUCAGGCUGACAUCUGUCAUGCCAUUGAUUGCCAGAUUGAAUCAGCUGAUCCAGCUGUCUAGGUGGGUUUCCCUUUCUUCCCUCACCCUCCAUGUGUGUCCCUUCUGAAGUUGCCUGCUCACUUGAAGAGGAAAGUUUAUAGCAAUUGAUGCCUACAUGAAGAAAUUCAAUGGCAUCAAAAAA